GGAUUCUCCUUCUCUAGUCCAUGUGACAAAUAAACUUGAAGCUCAUUUAGAUGGGAAAUUUCAUCUAAAUUAUCACCUUGAGUACCCCUGAACUCUGUCCACGAUUUAAGAGCUGUUAAGCCAGCAGCUCUUUUAGACGGUUGUGAUGUAGACGAAGUAGGGGUUGGAAUAUUUGGCCUAGCAUGCUCUAACACCUGUUUAUAAGCAUUAUAAACAGUUUGAGCAUUAACUUUAAUUGAUGCUUUCACAUCCGCUAGUGUAGCAAUUUCGUCUUCUGAAAGAUCUAAAGCUCUAUAAAUAUUAGAAUACCAAAAG
rnacentral:lncRNA from 1 species